UCUGGGUGUGGUGGCACACGGCUGCAGCCCCAGCCACUCUGGAGGCUGAGGUGGGAGUAUUGUUUGAGCCCAGGAGUUCUGGGCUGUACUGCAGUAUGCCAAUAGGGUAUCCACACUAAGUAUGGUGUCAAUAUGAUGAUUUCCCUGGAACAGGGGGCUGUAAGUUUCCUAAAGAGGGGUGAAGCAGCCCAGGGUGGAAACAGAGCAGGUCAAAACUCCCAUGCUAAUCAAAUGUGGAAUUGUGCCUGUGAAUAGCCACUGCACUCAGUCUGGGUGACAUAGUGAGACCCUAUAUCUU
ensembl:misc_RNA Metazoa_SRP Metazoan signal recognition particle RNA